ACUCUGCACCUUGAUGGUUGUGCCGUGGAGGGAGAUUAAUCCAGAUUCCCAGCCCAGCCACUUCUCCAGGAUGCAGGGCCAACGGCAGCCCCUCUUAUGCUCCAGAGGCUUCCAGGAGCUCGGCCAGCAGCCAAGCAGGCUCUUCCAAGGACGAUGCUCAAGAAAGGAUACCAGCAUCCGGUCACAGGGCCAGGUCCCCCGGCUCCCUUCAGCUUAAGCUCCAGGCUGACAGCGCCCAGUCAACUUCCAGUCAUUGUUCCAUCUGUGAACGUUGCCUCUGGCAGAGACCUACCUGUUCCCCGGCAACAGCGCUUCCUGUUUACUGAACACCCUGGUACUUCUCGCCACCUUGUUUCAGCUUCAUCACACUCUGCAAGGUAGGUUUUAUGUCCAUUCAAGAAAUGAAGGCAGUGAGCCCCUGAGGGCUUUGCAAAGCGACGGCAGACACAGGAGAAGAGCCCAGGUCGAAGCCCAAGGCUGUUGAUGCCAAAGCUCGUGCACCUUAACCUCCUGCUCUGCUGUCUGUCACAGGGCGAGGCGGACUUUGGACAGGACGUGUGACCCAGGUGAGUGCCUAUCAGCUACCCAUUAAUCCUUCAACAGAGAAUUUCAGUCUCAAAUUAUGAAAAUUGUGUGAGGAACACCUGAAUAGACCGCAUUUGUGAAAUGUAUAUAACUUGGAGAGAACGAAGACGAAGGAAUGGGUUUUCUCGUCUUGAGCAGAAUCAGGCCAAUAACUUGAUUUCCUUCCCAGAGAGUUUCCAUCACUUCCCUCGCCCAGAGCAGAGUCAUCUCCCAACCUCUGGCUGCAGAAGGGUCCCCAGCUCAGGUCAACCAGCUGCCUUGAUAGAACCUGCUCUACUGAGUUUCUGCUGGUCCUCAGUUUCCCCAGAAUUUCCAUUCCUAAAGGGCUUUGGGGCAGCAGUCUUAUCUGAAAGAGGCCGUUGAAACUCCAGUGUUACGGCAUUUUGCAUAAAAUGGAAGCAGCGUGAUCGUCUACAUCAAAGGAGGGUGGGAGCCCCAGACCUCCCCACUGGAGGCCUCUGCUCUCACCUCUGAUCCCUUUCCUCUGCCCACUGCUCUGUGUCCUCCCUGGGGGCCCCUGUUCCUCUUGUCCAGCUGUUUACGCUCUCAGACUUAAGAAGUCAAAGGAAAAUGAGGACAGAGUUCACGAGCACCUCCAGGCUCCACCACGGCCCCGGCUCUGUUUUUUUUUCUGGAAAACAUGGCUCAGCCGGUGGUGAUGGACAAAACCUCAAAGAAGGGGUCUGCGUUGCCUGUGCAUCUCCACCCACUCUGCAGGGGGGUCUUAACUUUCAAUCAUCGCUGAUCUACAUGAUUUUAUUAUCAGACUGUCGUGGACACAGGCUAAGGGCACUCAGACUGUGCUCCCGGCUCCCCCCGGCGGCCGCCUCCUGUCCCCUUCGGCUCGUGCAGGAGGAGGGGAGAGGCUGGUCCAGAACCCCCUGCAUCACCGCCACUGUGGCAGGGCUGAGCCGCCACCUCCUAGCAGUUCUGCAGCCUCAGACAAGCACUGAGCCUCCAGGCCUCGGUGACCCUGGCGUCGGGGUGGGGGGGGCAUUCAUCUUAGAGAUGGGAGUUGUGAGGAAUCCUGCAAGGUGCUCAGCUCAGCACGGGCUCCAUCAGUGACCGUCUCCCAUUUCUCCCAAACGGCCAUGUUCGAAUGUCUCUGCUGCCAAGAGGCCUGAGAGUCAUGGUGUCCGGAUUUAAUACACGCUGACACCAUCUGGGAAAGGGUUAAAGCCUGAGCUUGUUUCCACAGCUGACCUCUGCCGGGACCCCACAGAGAUGCAGGCUCCUGGGGGCCAGCCUCACGCAGAUGAACAUCUUCAGUUCCGUCCGCAUCAUCCAGCCCCAUGCAGGCCCUUCUCCCACCUGCUUGACCCUGACGUCCCUCUGUGCAAGUGUGAAGUUCUUCAUCCUUUAAUUGGAGAUCAUGCUUCAAUCGUAAAAUUUCCCUUUCUGCGCCCACCCUCUGCCCUCUGCCCUCUGCCCCCUGCCCCAGCACUGUGAACCCAGAUGGCCAUUUCUUUUUUCCUAAAACGAGCCUCAUUCCCACUGUUAUAAAUGUGGGGCAGGUAGAAGGCUCAGGGGUGGGGCUGUGUGCUGAGCAUCCUUAUCUGAGUGUUUAGACACAGCUGGCAGAUCCCUGUUCCCUGUUGCCCCUUCUAAGAGAGAGCAGGGGAGGGUCCUUCUCUCGCCUUGGCCCAGGUAACCCCACUGGCACAUAAGCAAUGAGCAUGACCCCACAGGAACAGAAGCAAGGGGACCAGCCAUGCCUGGUCCUACGAGGAAGCUCGGAAGAGAGGCUGACGAUUGUGUACAGGUGGUACAAGGACGAAAAUGCUGUCUCCGUGGAAGAUCCCAGAUUUUCUCCAGGCCAAGCCUGAAGGUCUCUUUGUUAGUGAGUCCAUAGUGAUCAAAGCAGAGAUUAAAGGCAGAAGGAACCUGAGGCUGGCUCCACGGAGUGAGCAGGGGGCCCCAGGCCGGGGAGGGUGGGGACACAGCACUGGGCUCC